GAUGAACGCUGGCGGCGUGCCUAAUACAUGCAAGUCGAGCGAACAGACGAGGAGCUUGCUCCUCUGACGUUAGCGGCGGACGGGUGAGUAACACGUGGAUAACCUACCUAUAAGACUGGGAUAACUUCGGGAAACCGGAGCUAAUAACGGAUAAUAUAUUGAACCGCAUGGUUCAAUAGUGAAAGACGGUUUUGCUGUCACAUAUAGAUGGUUCCGCGCCGCAUUAGCUAGUUGGUAAGGUAACGGCUUACCAAGGCAACGAUGCGUAGCCGACCUGAGAGGGUGAUCGGCCACACUGGAACUGAGACACGGUCCAGACUCCUACGGGAGGCAGCAGUAGGGAAUCUUCCGCAAUGGGCGAAAGCUUGACGGAGCAACGCCGCGUGAGUGAUGAAGGUCUUCGGAUCGUAAAACUCUGUUAUUAGGGAAGAACAAAUGUGUAAGUAACUAUGCACGUCUUGACGGUACCUAAUCAGAAAGCCACGGCUAACUACGUG
rnacentral:rRNA from 1 species